rnacentral:sRNA from 1 species
GGCCCACCACCACACCAUACUAUCUCCUCUGACUCUCCAGCCUUCCUUCACCACGCAGCCACCGCCACGCCACCGCUCUCUCUCUCUCGCGAUCUCUCUCUCUCGGGCGAUUUUCUCUCACAUCACAGAACUCUCGAUCCAGCACCAGCACCGAAUAGUGCAGCUACAGGUAAUGCUACCCAUUCUUUUUUUCUAUAUUUAUUUUUUGGGCUGAGGUUAUUUUACAUUGCUUGGAGAUCAUCAGAUUCUAAAUCUUCCCAGAAGAAAGAAAUUGAAGAAGCUCAUUGGUUUUCCCUUGAGUUAGCCAUGAAAGUACUAGGCAUUUACGAGAAGUGGGAAUAAUCUCAGAAUUCAGAGUUGUUCUGAAUUGACUGCCUGCAUUAUUCCUGAUGUCUGAUCACUUUUUAUAUCCUUUUGUCUUCAUCGCGUUUAUGAGCUUACAACAUGAAUUUUGUCCCUUUGCCAGUCUAUUUUGUUAUUUUUGCUGUCUAAAUUUGUUUCCAUGGUGUUGUAACUUGUAACUAAAAGGUUCAGAUACUACAAAAGUGCGAUUUCUUAUUAUCGAUGUGAUCAAGAUUUAAGUUGUUCUGUGUGUCAAUUAGGUACUUUCCACUGGACUUGGUAGGAUUGUGCCAAACUUGAUAUCAAGGAAGCAUACGA